rnacentral:rRNA from 1 species
ACUCCUACGGGAGGCAGCAGGUGGGAAUAUUGCACGAAUGGGGAAACCCUGAUGCAGCCAUGCCGCGUGUGUGAAGAAGGCCUUCGGGUUGUAAAGCACUUUCAGUAGGGAGGAAGGUAGUGUAGUUAACACCUGCAUUAUUUGACGUUACCUACAGAAGAAGCACCGGCUAACUCCGUGCCAGCAGCCGCGGUAAUACGGAGGGUGCGAGCGUUAAUCGGAAUUACUGGGCGUAAAGCGCAUGCAGGCGGCCUGUUAAGUCAGAUGUGAAAGCCCGGGGCUUAACCUCGGAAUUGCAUUUGAAACUGGCAGGCUAGAGUCUUGUAGAGGGGGGUAGAAUUUCAGGUGUAGCGGUGAAAUGCGUAGAGAUCUGAAGGAAUACCAGUGGCGAAGGCCGGCCCCCUGGACAAAGACUGACGCUCAGAUGCGAAAGCGUGGGGAGC